GAUGAACGCUGGCGGCGUGCCUAAUACAUGCAAGUCGAGCGAACAGACGAGGAGCUUGCUUCUCUGAUGUUAGCGGCGGACGGGUGAGUAACACGUGGAUAACCUACCUAUAAGACUGGGAUAACUUCGGGAAACCGUAGCUAAUACCGGAUAAUAUUUUGAACCGCAUGGUUCAAUAGUGAAAGACGGUUUUGCUUUCACUUAUAGAUGGAUCCGCGCCGCAUUAGCUAGUUGGUAAGGUAACGGCUUACCAAGGCAACGAUGCAUAGCCGACCUGAGAGGGUGAUCGGCCACACUGGAACUGAGACACGGUCCAGACUCCUACGGGAGGCAGCAGUAGGGAAUCUUCCGCAAAGGGCGAAAGCUUGACGGAGCAACGCCGCGUGAGUGAUGAAGGUCUUCGGAUCGUAAAACUCUGUUAUUAGGGAAGAACAAAUGUGUAAGUAACUAUGCACGUCUUGACGGUACCUAAUCAGAAAGCCACGGCUAACUACGUG
rnacentral:rRNA from 1 species